GAUGAACGCUGGCGGCGUGCCUAAUACAUGCAAGUCGAGCGAACAGACGAGGAGCUUGCUCCUCUGACGUUAGCGGCGGACGGGUGAGUAACACGUGGAUAACCUACCUAUAAGACUGGGAUAACUUCGGGAAACCGGAGCUAAUACCGGAUAAUAUAUUGAACCGCAUGGUUCAAUAGUGAAAGACGGUUUUGCUGUCACUUAUAGAUGGAUCCGCGCCGCAUUAGCUAGUUGGUAAGGUAACGGCUUACCAAGGCAACGAUGCGUAGCCGACCUGAGAGGGUGAUCGGCCACCCUGGACCUGAGCACCGGUCCAGACUCCUACGGGAGGCAGCAGUAGGGAAUCUUCCGCAAUGGGCGAAAGCCUGACGGAGCAACGCCGCGUGAGUGAUGAAGGUCUUCGGAUCGUAAAACUCUGUUAUUAGGGAAGAACAAAUGUGUAAGUAACUAUGCACGUCUUGACGGUACCUAAUCAGAAAGCCACGGCUAACUACGU
rnacentral:rRNA from 1 species